rnacentral:rRNA from 1 species
AACAAACGCUGGCGGCGUGCCUAAUACAUGCAAGUCGAACGGGGAAAGCCUUCGGGUGAGUACUAGUGGCGCACGGGUGAGUAACGCGUGGAUAAUCUGCCUUAGAGUGGGGGAUAACUAGUCGAAAGAUUAGCUAAUACCGCAUAAGACCACAGGAGCUGCGGCUCAAGGGGUCAAAGGUUUUUCGCUCUAAGAUGAGUCCGCGUAAGAUUAGCUAGUUGGUGAGGUAACGGCUCACCAAGGCGACGAUCUUUAACUGGUCUGAGAGGAUGAUCAGUCACACUGGAACUGAGACACGGUCCAGACUCCUACGGGAGGCAGCAGUAGGGAAUAUUGCACAAUGGAGGAACCUCUGAUGCAGCGACGCCGCGUGAGUGAUGAAGGCCUUCGGGUCGUAAAGCUCUGUCGCAGGGGAAUAACACAAUGAAGGUACCCUGUAAGAAAGGAUCGGCUAACUUCGUGCCAGCCGCCGCCGUAAGAC